rnacentral:rRNA from 1 species
UACGUAGGGUGCAGGCGUUAAUCGGAAUUACUGGGCGUAAAGCGUGCGCAGGCGGUUUCUUAAGUCAGAUGUGAAAGCCCCGGGCUUAACCUGGGAACUGCGUUUGAAACUGGGAGACUUGAGUGUGGCAGAGGGGGGUGGAAUUCCACGUGUAGCAGUGAAAUGCGUAGAUAUGUGGAGGAACACCGGUGGCGAAGGCGGGACUCUGGGCCGAUACUGACGCUGAGGAGCGAAAGCGUGGGGAGCAAACAGG